UGAGUAUUACGUAAAGUCUUGAUCAAGCUUUCUGCUCUUCAACCUUUACAACCAUAUUGCUAGUUAUACUUUCGAUCGUGAUAGUUCACCUCAUCUGCAAGCCCCUCUAGAAUAGACUUAUUCAUAUGCCACUCUUUCCAUUUCUUUCUUGGCAUACUAUCGUUGGUUUUUGAUAUCUACAGGUUGCUACUAUUUCUGUAGAAUGAGCUAUUAACAAGCUCCAUUUCAUUCUCACCAAAUUCACUUAGGAAACUCGCCCUCAGAUUUCAAACUUUACACGUAAAGAUGCAUUCUCCACUAUACUGUCUUAAGGCUUUUAACCACUUCUUGUAUAGUUUUUGUCACUUUGAUUUAGUAUCACAUUUCAUCGGAUCAUUGCUGUGAUCUUCUACAUCCACUUCCAGCAAUUUCAUUUAUUUUGAAUUUACUUCCAUUUUUUGCUCAUUAAAAUUUGAAAUAAUGGAGGCCAAAUCAGAGCUUAGUAUGAGUUUCCAUUUAUAGUGGUGAAUGGUAGCUUGAAAAUUUUGCAAGGCUAGUGAGAAUUUGAAGAAAUCUAAGGAUUCGAAUAUUUGUAUUGAAUUAUUCUUGAUAUGCUUUGUAAAUGCUCAAUGGAUGAGUAGCGUUUAGAAGAACGUGAACAUGGGGACCUAUUAGUGAGUAAACAUUGUUAUGUUGAUUCUUUAAUUUUUUGAAAGUUUUGUUUAAGUUUCUUUGAGUUAAAACGUUGAUUUGGGAGAGCUAAAAACCCUAUUUUCUAUAUGGUUAUGGUUUUGAAAUCGAAACCU
rnacentral:lncRNA from 1 species